UGUAUAUGUAUAUAUUUAUAUAUCAUCUCUUUGUCUUUCCAAAGGCGGUAGGGUCUACUUAUGUUGUUUCUUUCGAUUUCAGUGGAUCCAGAGGAGAUUAAGGGUUGGUUUUGCAGAGAUACAUUUUGGGGCUAUGUAAGGUUUGGUGAUAUCAAAUCUGAAAAAUAUCUGGUUAGUCCGACACUUUCAAAUUGGAAUGGAAAUGGCCCCACAGUCCUUCUGUCUUUAUGGGCAGGUAAGGGAUGAUAUUCCGGAGCCAGGAAAGCACUACAAAAACACCACUCUGCUUAUAAUUAUUAAUCAAAAUUUAUUUGGCUUUUGUGAGUAUAUGUGUUCAGAACUAUGGCUGGGGGGAAGUGGCAACAGCUUUUUUUGAGCGAAACCUUUCGCGGCACACUGGACAACGCAUGACUGGAUCAGGAAUAAUUUCACCCAAAUAGGCAAUGCAAAGGGAUCCACUUUCGGACCAUAGCAAAUCGAGCAAAAGUCUUCAGCGCUGCCCGUCUUAGUUUCUUCCUCAGCUUCAGCUGGCUUGUCCUUCUUAUUAGUCGCCAUAUUUUUUAGUAGAUCACGGCUGAAAUCAAACCUUUUUUCAAACAACAUCCUUUUUAUUUUGUCCGCUCAUUUUCUUACCAAAACGAACUAUUUACUUGCCAGCUGUUCUGAGAAUUUUCUCGAAGCUACGAAGUGUUGAAUAUAAAAAGUGUGUAUAUAAAAGUGUUGCUCAACGUCAAAAU